GAUGAAGAACGUAGCGAAAUGCGAUAAGUAAUGUGAAUUGCAGAAUUCAGUGAAUCAUCGAAUCUUUGAACGCACAUUGCGCCCCCUGGUAUUCCGGGGGGCAUGCCUGUCCGAGCGUCAUUACAACCCUCAAGCUCAGCUUGGUGUUGGGCCCCGCCGCCCCGGCGGGCCCUAAAGUCAGUGGCGGUGCCGUCCGGCUCCGAGCGUAGUAAUUCUUCUCGCUCUGGAGGUCCGGUCGUGUGCUCGCCAGCAACCCCCAAUUUUUUUCAGGUUGACCUCGGAUCAGGUAGGGAUACCCGCUGAGCUUAAGCAUAUCAAUAAGCGGGGA
rnacentral:misc_RNA from 1 species